GAGUUAGGGGUUCAGGGUUAGGAGUAGGGGUUAGGGUUAAGAUAAGGUUAGGGUUAGGAGAGGGUUACGGUUAGGCUAAGGGGUUAGGGGUUGGAUAGCUAUUAGAAAAUAUAAAGGUUUUUUGUUAGUGGUUAGGGUUAGGAGUUAGGGUAAGGGGUUAGGGUAAGGGGUUGGGGUUAGGGUUAGGAUAGCUAUUGGAAGAUAUUGAAGUUUUUUGUUUUGUUUUGCAGAAUGAAAGAGAAUGCUUAGGAUGACACAGGGUUAAGGGUUCUGGAGAGGGUUAGGAGGUUAGGGUUGGGGGUUAGGGUGAGAGGUUAGGGGUUAGGGUUAGGAUAGCUAUUAGAAAAUAUAAAGGUUUUGUGUUAGUGGUUAGGGUUAGGAGUUAGGGUAGGGGGUUAGGGUAAGAGGUUAGGAUAGCUAUUGGAAGAUAUUAAAGUUUUUUGUUUUGUUUUGCAGAAUGAAAGAGAAUGCUUAGGAUGACAUAGGGUUAAGAGUUAGGGUGAGGAUAAGGGGUUAUGGUUAAGGGUUAGGGUGAGGGUUCGGGGGUUAGGGGGUUAGGGUGAGGGUUUGGAUGCCUAUUAGAAGAUAGAGACAACUUGUUAUCCGGCAAUUGCAUGUGAAUCUGCGGGUUCUUGUGAGUUCUCGCAAUUCCUGCUUCCGUUAUCUGCCACGAAAUUCGGCUCACAAACAGAUCUGGUAGGAAUUGGCUACAGUGAAAUUUGCCAACGUACUGGAUUGGAGUCGUUCUGGUGACUCAGCUUCAGUCCGCUCUUUGUGAGUUUGGAGGGUUUACUCAUGAGGUUGUAUCUGAAGCUGCUAAUUCUGGGUUUCUUCUUGGCUAACUUUCUUCAUGAAGGUUCAAUAAAGUUGAGUUGAUAUUUUUCUUUAUUUCUUAUGACCAACCUGAGAUGGUGGUGGAAAACACAACCCUCUCAAAGGAGACAAAAACAGUCCAGAUUUCAGAGUUUCCAGCAUAAAAAAGUUUGGCAAACUUCUGAGUAAAACCCGCUCUGUUUAUUUUCUCUCUGACUUCUUUACCUCGCAGGGUGUGCAGAGAGCUGCAGUCAUGGAAACGUACCCCAGGAGUCCUGUCUGCACUUUUCUUCCACAAUAAAAAAGGCCAGUGGACAACUAACGAUAUUACUAAACACCCGGCUUCCUCUACAUCUGCCGCGCUUUACUGCUUUCAUGGUAUGUAAACCUCCAGAGGAAAGGAGAGAAUGCACAGAGACAAACAUGAAUAAGUCAUAAAUUCAGGAUUUGGCAGGAGAGGAGAGAACCUGGAUUUGUCUGAGAGUCCUGUUAGAAACCUUGGUGAUGUUUAGUCCUCAGUGGCUGACAUGGAUGUGGGUUUGACCUUGAGGUAAAGAUUUUGUGUUGCAGUUUUUCACCCAUUUUAGACUCCUUCAGAAACCCGGAGAAGGACCUCUGCUGACUCAGAUAUCCAACAUUUAUCAGGAUUUCAUGGAGCGUCAAGCAGAAACCAACAUAUCAAGUCUCAGGUAUGAAAACAGCAGGUAAAGGAAUAUUUCUUCAGAUGGAAAAAAAAAAGCUGAAUUAGAUAUCGAUCCUUUGAGAGGUUACAGACAGAGAUAAAAAUGAAUUACAAAACUUAAUCCUCUCUUUAGAGAAGUCGAACAAGAGUCGACAAGUCUGUAGGAAAGAUCUUAGAGUUUAAAACCUCAGGAAACGUUGAAACCAGUCAUCAAAAUAACUCCGUUAGAGGACUGAAUAGACGGUGGAAACUUGACGUUCUUAACGCCGGAUGUACUGGAUGUGUUUUAUUCCGCUUUUGUUGUGGGUUAACAACAUAUCGACGACUGCUGUUGUGCGCUUUAACCACAAAUGCAUCUGUUCUCCAACGAUGAAUGCCUAAAGAGAUAUGAGGGAGCAGUUAUGGAAUAAAUACAGCUGCGACUACACCCUGUGUGUUUGUUUGCAAUCAGUCAGUCAGUCAGUCAGUCAGUCAGUCAGUCAGUCAGGAAGACUUCAGGGAGGUGAGGCAGCGCACGUCUCCAGGGUUUAGCGGUGUCAAAAUAUCAGCCAUCUCUUUAUUAUUUUCUGUCUGCUGCCCUGAAAGCUUCUCCAUCGUUGGUUCAGAGGGCGUUCAAGAGCUCGAAACAACAACAAACAACUUUUCUCCUCACACAGCAGAGGACCUGGACCGAACCUGACCACCGAAGAGAGUGGUCUGCUUCAGACUUUCACCGCUAACACUUUAAAAUCAAAGUCACAUCACAGGACGUACGAGUCACGAGGAUGUAAGUAUGGACAGGACAAUAAGAAGUCACUGUGCUCACACAGACCCCCUGGGCAAAUUCCAGCGUUGGUCACAGUAUUUCUAUUUAUUCAAUACAUCCGUCUUACAAAGUGCAGUGUUUCAAAGCAGAACAUUUAUGACCUUAAAUGUGCAAAUUAGCACGUUAAAAACUAGUAAACUAGCACGCCUGAUAUGGCGGCCUUUCCUUGUGUGCUAACGUCCACAUGUAUGUGAGCUCUUUUGACCAUUCGGCAGUGAAUGAGGUCCUGGGCACCAUUGUGAAGUUUGAACCCUGCUGAUGCCUAACCUGGGAUUUCCACCGCAUUGGAACAGCUGCAAUUUUCCCCGUACGCCAGUUCCUACCGGAUCCAUUUGUGAGGCAAAUUUCAUGUUGGUUUACGGACAGCGGGAAUCAUCAGAACUCACAAGAACCCGCAGAUUCAUGUGAAAUCGCACGAUAACAAGUUUUCUUUAGCCACAGAGGCUAACCAUAUAAGCAGUAGAUUGUGUCCUUCCAGAGGAGGAAAUCUACUUCUAGACUUCUAGAAUCAGCAUCUCCUCAUCCAUGGUGUCAUCGGGGUGAAAUGACGUCUAAAAACCUUUCACUUGUUCGUCUCUGCCCGUUUCAAGCCGGAUGUUUUAUUUUGUGUCUGUGCCCGACUUCCUUUCCAGCACGGGUUAAUCUGUGAUGAAUUUAUCCGUCAUGCUUGUCCAGAAAAAAUAGAACUCAUGCGAUCAGCUGAGGAACGGAAAGAAGUCGGUGGAAAUUGAUUCUUUAACUUGAAUGGUUACGAUCAGCUACGAUCGGCAGAUACGGCUUCUGUGUAGCUGUUCUGGAUUCGGCUGAAAUUGGGGACUAGACUGAAACACCAUAAAAAAAGCUAAACCAGGCUGACCAUCCCUGGUUUAACAUGUCAUGUAGCUGCAAGAAAGUUCAUCAAACUUUCCUGUCUUUUAAAAAACUUCUUUACGCUCUUCGGGCUCAUGAACGGUAGAAUCCGUUUCCCCUCCUUGGCCUCCUCCUCCUGAAUCCAGCAUCGAGCCGCUCCCUCGCCUCCGUUUCAUGGAGCAGCUGCUCUGCCUGUGCUCUCCCACUCUGUGUACCUGUAGGCAGCAGUUGUGAAAUACAAACAAACCCGAGUUUUAACCUUUGCUACAAGCUCAGAACGUGUUUCUGUCAGAGUUGUCGGAUGAAGGGUGAAGGCGGAGUUAAUGCUCCACAGAUGAAGAGGAGAAGCUGUUGAAUAUGUAUGUGUGUAGGUCGGCAUGUGAACAAUGCGGUGCAGCAGCAGCAGCAGCAGCAGCAGCAGGGCCUGUCAGCCUGUCUGCCUCAUUAGCACUAACUGAAACAGACAUGCUAGCACUGCGCAGCGUAGCAUUCAGCCUCAACCUGUCUGUGGUCAGCACUACAGGAAGCAGCAUAAUAUUUCCAUUGUUAGGGCGUCUCUUUGCUCCCCGAACUUCCCGCUGGUGAGUUUUGUGGUGUGGAACUUUUCUUUUUUCUGAGGGAAAGUUUGUGCAGAAGCAAACAGCGUCGUCUGAAUUCAAGACUCGAACAGAGACAGAGGAAAACUUUGCAGUUUGGGCUGAUGUGGGAGGAAAACGCGGAGAGCUUUUAGUCGUCCUCUGUCAGCAGUUUCUGCUUGACACCGAGCUGCGCGCGUGGGUUCAAUGAGCUAUCUGCACAAUGAAAAACUGAGAUCUCCGUGACACAAAUAUCAGAGCUUUGACUGAAGGGAGCUCGCUGUGCAGAGGGCGGAAUGUUUUACAGCAUCUUUGUACAGUGUUCCCGCAAUGUUACACAACACCGCGCCGCGAGUUCACAAAGUGUUUGACGUGAAUGAAGAAGUAAAGAGAGCUGGAAACUAAAAGUGAACGGAGGGCCAACCUCACCGUGAAAAUACUCUUGGUCUCAUUCUUUCAGUCACUCGAUUAUAAAAAAAGCCUUGAGGCAAAUUAUCUGCUUCCAUGUUUUACUUUAAAAUUCAGACAAUCCAGCCCGCGGUGCUCAGAAUAACGACCGUGAAACAGCCGCUCUGAAUAUUAUAAUGUUCAACUUUAAUUUAAAUUUCUCAUAAAGGGGUAUUCUGCAUUUUUUCAGACUCUAAUCGUCCUCCUGAUUCUCACUCUGGUGUAUUAAAAUAUCACUUUUUCAGCCUCCUUCAUUUUGGCGGCUAAUUUUGGCAUGAAAGCUAAUCCGGCGAAAACCGUCCAGACCAACCACAAUCUUCCACGUCAUCCCAACCAACUUCCAGCCAAUCAUAUAGCAUGACGUCAUCAACAGGCACCGGCCUCGAGCCGAUCUGGCAGCCUGAACACAUCUGGUACCAACACCGGAUAGAAAAUACAGUCCAUUUGAACAUUUAAUCAAAUCAAAACUGUGACUUUAUAUAUUAAAAACAAAACUGUGUGCAACAAUGAGCCAUCAACUGUGUUUUCAGGGGCAUUUUAUCUUGUCCUGACUUUGUGGCUCUCUUAACGCCGCCACAUCACAUUUCCCAAAU